GGGCCCGCACAAGCGGCGGAGCAUGUGGAUUAAUUCGAUGCAACGCGAAGAACCUUACCUGGGUUUGACAUGCACAGGACGCCGGCAGAGAUGUCGGUUCCCUUGUGGCCUGUGUGCAGGUGGUGCAUGGCUGUCGUCAGCUCGUGUCGUGAGAUGUUGGGUUAAGUCCCGCAACGAGCGCAACCCUUGUCUCAUGUUGCCAGCGCGUGAUGGCGGGGACUCGUGAGAGACUGCCGGGGUCAACUCGGAGGAAGGUGGGGAUGACGUCAAGUCAUCAUGCCCCUUAUGUCCAGGGCUUCACACAUGCUACAAUGGCCGGUACAAAGGGCUGCGAUGCCGUGAGGUUAAGCGAAUCCUUGGUAAAGCCGGUCUCAGUUCGGAUCGGGGUCUGCAACUCGACCCCGUGAAGUCGGAGUCGCUAGUAAUCGCAGAUCAGCAACGCUGCGGUGAAUACGUUCCCGGGCCUU
rnacentral:rRNA from 1 species